rnacentral:rRNA from 1 species
UACGUAGGUGGCAAGCGUUACUCGGAAUUACUGGGCGUAAAGCGUGCGCAGGCGGUUCGUUAAGUUCGUUGUGAAAGCCCCGGGCUCAACCUGGGAACUGCAAUGGAAACUGGCGGGCUUGAGUGUGGCAGAGGGGGGUGGAAUUCCGCGUGUAGCAGUGAAAUGCGUAGAGAUGCGGAGGAACACCGAUGGCGAAGGCAGCCCCCUGGGCCAACACUGACGCUCAGGCACGAAAGCGUGGGGAGCAAACAGG